CCAAUAGCGUAUAUUAAAGUUGUUGCAGUUAAAAAGCUCGUAGUUGAAUUUCGAGACCGGUUUAUUGGUCGUGCUUUUGUACGUACUGGUAUUAUUGGUUUCUCCUUUCUGACGAAUCUUAAUGCCAUUAAUUUGGUGUUUUGGGGAAUCAGGACUGUUACUUUGAAAAAAUUAGAGUGUUUAAAGCAGGCUCACGCUUGAAUACAUUAGCAUGGAAUAACGAAAUAGGACGUUUGAUUUUAUUUUGUUGGUUUCUAGGAUCGACGUAAUGAUUAAUAGGGAUAGUUGGGGGCAUUAGUAUUCAAUUGUCAGAGGUGAAAUUCUUGGAUUUAUUGAAGACUGACUACUGCGAAAGCAUUUGCCAAGGAUGUUUUCAUUAAUCAAGAACGAAAGUUAGGGGAUCGAAGACGAUCAGAUACCGUCGUAGUCUUAACCAUAAACUAUGCCGACUAGGGAUCGGAUGAUGUUAAUUUUUUAAUGACUCAUUCGGCGCCUUACG
rnacentral:rRNA from 1 species